rnacentral:rRNA from 1 species
UAGGGAAUCUUCGGCAAUGGGGGCAACCCUGACCGAGCAACGCCGCGUGAGUGAAGAAGGUUUUCGGAUCGUAAAGCUCUGUUGUAAGUCAAGAACGGUGUGAGAGUGGAAAGUUCACACUGUGACGGUAGCUUACCAGAAAGGGACGGCUAACUACGUGCCAGCAGCCGCGGUAAUACGUAGGUCCCGAGCGUUGUCCGGAUUUAUUGGGCGUAAAAGCGAGCGCAGGCGGUUUGAUAAGUCUGAAGUUAAAGGCUGUGGCUCAACCAUAGUUCGCUUUGGAAACUGUCAAACUUGAGUGCAGAAGGGGAGAGUGGAAUUCCAUGUGUAGCGGUGAAAUGCGUAGAUAUAUGGAGGAACACCGGUGGCGAAAGCGGCUCUCUGGUCUGUAACUGACGCUGAGGCUCGAAAGCGUGGGGAGCGAACAGGAUUAGAUACCCUGGUAGUCCACGCCGUAAACGAUGAGUGCUAGGUGUUGGAUCCUUUCCGGGAUUCAGUGCCGCAGCUAACGCAUUAAGCACUCCGCCUGGGGGAGUACGACCGCAAGGUUGAAAC